rnacentral:misc_RNA from 1 species
GUCGAAGCCAAAGAAGACCAGAGCCAGCCGGGUGGCACAGCGGUGUCGUGGCCGUGUUGCUGAUCGCCUGGGUGGUUGUUGGCGUGUCCCUGCAGCGAAGGAUCCUGGUUGGUCUUCUCAGUACAGCAUGGUGGCUGGGGCAGGCCGAGAGAAUGGCAUGGAGACGCCGAUGCACGAGAACCCGGAGUGGGAGAAGGCCCGUCAGGCCCUGGCCAGCAUCAGCAAGUCAGGAGCUGCCGGCGGCUCUGCCAAGUCCAGCAGCAAUGGGCCUGUGGCCAGUGCACAGUACGUGUCCCAGGCAGAAGCCUCAGCUUUGCAGCAGCAGCAGUACUACCAGUGGUACCAGCAGUACAACUAUGCCUACCCCUACAGCUACUACUAUCCCAUGCCCCCAGUCCCCGGCAUGGAUGAGAGCAUGUCCUACCAGGCUCCCCCUCAGCAGCUGCCGUCGGCUCAGCCCCCUCAGCCCUCAAAUCCCCCACAUGGGGCUCACACGCUGAACAGUGGCCCUCAGCCUGGGACAGCUCCAGCCACACAGCACAGCCAGGCGGGGCCCGCCACGGGCCAGGCCUAUGGGCCACA